GAGACAGGAACCUCACUGCUGCUUCCAGGAGCUUCAGCUCAGUUCAAACCCACAUCCAGAGCUUGGUACAUCUCUUCAAAGCUCUUCAGAAAAGAGCAGUCACAUCAGAAGCAAUCUUAGGAUCCAAGCCACUGAUGUCUACUUAACCCAGACAGGCUCAACCUCAGCAGCUGGGACUUCGGCACCUGAGCAGUGGGGUGACAACAAGAACACCGUCCCUGCUGCUAAGAGUUGUGCAGUGUGCCUUCCCACGUGGUGGUAGAUCGGGGGGCAGCGUGCUCAAGGUGUAGGAAGUGGAUGGGAAAAACCCAACCAACCCCAACAACCCUGUUGUGUGUUUCCCUGUGCCAGUUCCCACGCGGAGCUGGGGCCUGGUGCUGCCCAUGGAGGCCGACAGCACUACGCAGCGUUUUGCAUGCCAACGUGACACCGACCACACAGCUUGCAAACCGUGCAGGUACGUGGAGCAGCACGAUACACAUCCAGAACAGGGAAUCAAUCAGGGACAUUCAUUUUUUUGGUCAUUUCCCUACUGGUCACCAUCAUUCUGAGGGUUGCAUUCUGUACUUUGACAUGUACGUAAUAAAAGCUUUGGUGCAAAACGGUGAGCGUAGGCAUGUAAGUGCACUUCUGAAUCAAGGACCUGCUGUGUCCCCACCACCACCUCAGAGGAUCUGCUUGGGAUGUUACCUAGAAAUACAGCCUAACAAACCUCACACCCCUCCAGACGAAUGA
rnacentral:lncRNA from 1 species